rnacentral:rRNA from 1 species
UGAAUAAACCUGAUGUGACUGUUAGCUGGCUUUUCGAAGCAUGUGCUCGUCCGUCAUCUUUAUCUCUCCACCUGUGCACAUUUUGUAGUUUUGGAUACCUCUCGAGGAAACUCGGAUUUUAGGAUCGCCGUGCUGUACAAGUCGGCUUUUCUUUCAUUUCCAAGACUAUGUUUUUAUAUACACCAAAGUAUGUUUAUAGAAUGUCAUCAAUAGGAACUUGUUUCCUAUAAAAUUAUACAACUUUCAGCAACGGAUCUCUUGGCUCUCGCAUCGAUGAAGAACGCAGCGAAAUGCGAUAAGUAAUGUGAAUUGCAGAAUUCAGUGAAUCAUCGAAUCUUUGAACGCACCUUGCGCUCCUUGGUAUUCCGAGGAGCAUGCCUGUUUGAGUGUCAUUAAAUUCUCAACCUUCCAACUUUUAUUAGUUUGGUUAGGCUUGGAUGUGGGGGUUGCGGGCUUCAUCACUGAGGUCGGCUCUCCUUAAAUGCAUUAGCGGAACUUUUGUGGACCGUCUAUUGGUGUGAUAAUUAUCUACGCCGUGGAUGUGAAACAGCUUUAUGAAGUUCUGCUUCUAACCGUCCAUUGACUUGGACAAUUUUGAUAAUUUGACCUCAAAUCAGGUAGGACUACCCGCUGAACUUAAGCAUAUCAU